GACGAACGCUGGCGGCGUGCUUAACACAUGCAAGUCGAACGAAGUGGCGAACGGGUGAGUAACGCGUAAUCAACCUGCCCUUCAGAGGGGGACAACCGUUGGACACGACUGCUAAUACCGCAUCCGGAAGGAGGGGAUUGGGUUUGAUUAGCUAGUUGGAGGGGUAACGGCCCACCAAGGCGAUGAUCAGUAGCCGGUCUGAGAGGAUGAACGGCCACAUUGGGACUGAGACACGGCCCAGACUCCUACGGGAGGCAGCAGUGGGGAAUCUUCCGCAAUGGACGAAAGUCUGACGAAGCAACGCCGCGUGAGUGAUGACGGCCUUCGGGUUGUAAAGCUCUGUUAAUCGGGACGCGGUACCGGAAUAGAAAGCCACGGCUAACUACGUGCCAGCAGCCGCGGUAAUUC
rnacentral:rRNA from 1 species